rnacentral:misc_RNA from 1 species
UAGCGACCAGCCCAUGCGGCGAAGGCGAGACUAUGCGCUGUCAGUUUCACGGUGUCGAUCUCAUAAGGCGAAGAACCCGUUGUCGGGUUGCUUUCCACCGAUGAUGCGCGGGUCUUCCUUGGCAAGCACAUCGAACAGCGUUGUGAGAUCGGCGCGGGCCGUAGUUGCGCGCGCAACGACAAGGUUGCUGUAUUCUAUGGAGCGUUCGAUGACUGUCGC